AAACGACACCUAAGUUUUCUGGAAAGGAAUGCCACAGAGGGUGAUAGCCCCGUACGGUGUUGACUCGAUACAGAGUCCUAACAUGGAGUCGAGUUGUUUGGGAAUGCAGCUCAAAUGGGUGGUAUGCUCCAUCUAAGGCUAAAUAUUUGCGAGAGACCGAUAGCGAACAAGUACUGUGAAGGAAAGAUGAAAAGAACUUUGAAAAGAGAGUGAAAUAGUACGUGAAAUUGUUGAAAUGGAAGGGUAGGCCGCUAACCAUGUAGGACCGUGUUUGGGGGG
rnacentral:rRNA from 1 species